rnacentral:rRNA from 1 species
GAUGAACGCUGGCGGCGUGCCUAAUACAUGCAAGUCGAGCGAACAGACGAGGAGCUUGCUCCUCUGACGUUAGCGGCGGACGGGUGAGUAACACGUGGAUAACCUACCUAUAAGACUGGGAUAACUUCGGGAAACCGGUGCUAAUACCGGAUAAUAUAUUGAACCGCAUGGUUCAAUAGUGAAAGACGGUUUUGCUGUCACUUAUAGAUGGAUCCGCGCCGCAUUAGCUAGUUGGUAAGGUAACGGCUUACCAAGGCAACGAUGCGUAGCCGACCUGAGAGGGUGAUCGGCAACACUGGAACUGAGAAACGGUCCAGACUCCUACGGGAGGCAGCAGUAGGGAAUAUUCCGCAAUGGGCGAAAGCCUGACGGAGCAACGCCGCGUGAGUGAUGAAGGUCUUCGGAUCGUAAAACUCUGUUAUUAGGGAAGAACAAAUGUGUAAGUAACUAUGCACGUCUUGACGGUACCUAAUCAGAAAGCCACGGCUAACUACGUG